CCUACGGGUGGCAGCAGUGAGGAAUAUUGGUCAAUGGACGAGAGUCUGAACCAGCCAAGUAGCGUGAAGGAUGACUGCCCUAUGGGUUGUAAACUUCUUUUAUAUGGGAAUAAAAUGAUCCACGUGUGGGAUUUUGUAUGUACCAUAUGAAUAAGGAUCGGCUAACUCCGUGCCAGCAGCCGCGGUAAUACGGAGGAUCCGAGCGUUAUCCGGAUUUAUUGGGUUUAAAGGGAGCGUAGGUGGAUUGUUAAGUCAGUUGUGAAAGUUUGCGGCUCAACCGUAAAAUUGCAGUUGAAACUGGCAGUCUUGAGAACAGUAGAGGUGGGCGGAAUUCGUGGUGUAGCGGUGAAAUGCUUAGAUAUCACGAAGAACUCCGAUUGCGAAGGCAGUUCACUGGACUGCAACUGACACUGAGGCUCGAAAGUGUGGGUAUCAAACAGGAUUAGAUACCCCUGUAGUC
rnacentral:rRNA from 1 species